AUGAGGAGAUGGAAGGAGGAAGAGAAGCAAAGAUCAGAUACCAUCUCUCCUAUGGACUUUGUAAAUCUGCAGUCUCAGAUCAACACAAUCCUGCCCUUCAGCACUAUCAGCAGCAGGAGCAGCAGCAACCUCUGAAAAGCAGCAUUGUACCCCAUCAGGAAGGAAGCAUCAAUAUCAGAUGAGAAGAUUUAUGUCUUUCUUUUGUGUCCCCCCAACAAGUUGAUUUGUUCACAUUUUUACAUUUUUACAUCUUAAUUUUUAAGUGACAUGUGCAUUUUGAGUUUAUACACUAUGUAUAUAAGGUGACUGUUCCCUUUAGCAGUAUUUUUGUGUGGUGUGUUUUUCUGUCUUAACAAAAGGGGAACAAAGGUGUUUAAGUUCACCUAGAAUGAUUUGUUUUGAUUUUCACAUGAUCUUACUGAGGUGAUUGGAAUUGAAACAUGCAUUCAUU